rnacentral:rRNA from 1 species
AUUGAACGCUGGCGGCAGGCUUAACACAUGCAAGUCGAGCGGGGAGAUGUAGCUUGCUACAUUUCCUAGCGGCGGACGGGUGAGUAAUGCUUAGGAAUCUGCCUAUUAGUGGGGGACAACAUUCCGAAAGGAAUGCUAAUACCGCAUACGUCCUACGGGAGAAAGCAGGGGAUCUUCGGACCUUGCGCUAAUAGAUGAGCCUAAGUCAGAUUAGCUAGUUGGUGGGGUAAAGGCCUACCAAGGCGACGAUCUGUAGCGGGUCUGAGAGGAUGAUCCGCCACACUGGGACUGAGACACGGCCCAGACUCCUACGGGAGGCAGCAGUGGGGAAUAUUGGACAAUGGGCGCAAGCCUGAUCCAGCCAUGCCGCGUGUGUGAAGAAGGCCUUUUGGUUGUAAAGCACUUUAAGCGAGGAGGAGGCUACUUGGAUUAAUACUCUAGGAUAGUGGACGUUACUCGCAGAAUAAGCACCGGCUAACUCUGUGCCAGCAGCCGCGGUAAUACAGAGGGUGCGAGCGUUAAU